AGAGUUUGAUCCUGGCUCAGAUUGAACGCUGGCGGCAGGCCUAACACAUGCAAGUCGAGCGGUAGAGAGAAGCUUGCUUCUCUUGAGAGCGGCGGACGGGUGAGUAAUGCCUAGGAAUCUGCCUGGUAGUGGGGGAUAACGUUCGGAAACGGACGCUAAUACCGCAUACGUCCUACGGGAGAAAGCAGGGGACCUUCGGGCCUUGCGCUAUCAGAUGAGCCUAGGUCGGAUUAGCUAGUUGGUGGGGUAAUGGCUCACCAAGGCGACGAUCCGUAACUGGUCUGAGAGGAUGAUCAGUCACACUGGAACUGAGACACGGUCCAGACUCCUACGGGAGGCAGCAGUGGGGAAUAUUGGACAAUGGGCGAAAGCCUGAUCCAGCCAUGCCGCGUGUGUGAGGAAGGUCUUCGGAUUGUAAAGCACUUUAAGUUGGGAGGAAGGGCAGUUACCUAAUACGUAAUUGUUUUGACGUUACCGACAGAAUAAGCACCGGCUAACUCUGUGCCAGCAGCCGCGGUAAUACAGAGGGUGCAAGCGUUAAUCGGAAUUACUGGGCGUAAAGCGCGCGUAGGUGG
rnacentral:rRNA from 1 species